CAUCCAAGUUCUCAGCUGUCCAUUCUACAAAAUCUGGCAUAAAUAGUCUGUGGAGGGACCCAGGAUCUGCAGAGCAGAAUUCAGCAUCUCACCGUACUUGCUGGUGGCUGCACAAAGACUGAAUCACUUCUCAGGGUCAUGUUUUUUUGGCUCAACAAGUUGACUUGGGUCAACAAAGGCUGUGAAGACCAAGGGAAGAAGUAGGACAGCACAGCCAGGCAAGAGGGAUGGCAAACACAGCAUUGUCUCCUUUUAUGAAGGGAUCCCUUUCUGGCUCUGUGACGCAAUACACACCGAUUUCACAAUGGAGGGAAUUCCCCACUCUGUGCUCAGGAGCCUGUGGCUG